rnacentral:rRNA from 1 species
AGAGUUUGAUCCUGGCUCAGAACGAACGCUGGCGGCAUGCCUAACACAUGCAAGUCGAACGCUAUUUAUAGAGUGGCGCACGGGUGAGUAACGCGUGGGAACCUGCCUUUUUCUGCGGGAUAACGGUUGGAAACGACCGCUAAUACCGCAUACGCCCUACGGGGGAAAGGUCCGCCGGAGAAAGAGGGGCCCGCGUCUGAUUAGCUAGUUGGUAGGGUAACGGCCUACCAAGGCGACGAUCAGUAGCUGGUCUGAGAGGAUGAUCAGCCACACUGGGACUGAGACACGGCCCAGACUCCUACGGGAGGCAGCAGUGGGGAAUAUUGGACAAUGGGGGCAACCCUGAUCCAGCAAUGCCGCGUGUGUGAUGAAGGCCUUAGGGUUGUAAAGCACUUUCACUGGUGAAGAUGAUGACGGUAACCAGAGAAGAAGCCCCGGCUAACUUCGUGCCAGCAGCCGCGGUAAUACGAAGGGGGCGAGCGUUGUUCGGAAUUACUGGGCGUAAAGGGCGCGUAGGCGGUCUUUUAAGUUAGGCGUGAAAUCCCCGGGCUCAACCUGGGAACUGCGCUUAAGACUGGAAGACUAGAAAACGGAAGA